UGCGGAGGAUCCGAGCGUUAUCCGGAUUUAUUGGGUUUAAAGGGUGCGCAGGCGGGAGAUUAAGUCGGCGGUGAAAUUUUGCAGCUCAACUGUAAAAGUGCCUUCGAAACUGGUUUCCUUGAGUGUAGAUGAAGUAGGCGGAAUUUGUGGUGUAGCGGUGAAAUGCAUAGAUAUCACGAGGAACUCCGAUUGCGCAGGCAGCUUACUAAACUACUACUGACGCUCAGGCACGAAGGCGUGGGGAUCAAACAGGAUUAGAUACCCGCGUA
rnacentral:rRNA from 1 species